UACGUAGGGGGCUAGCGUUGUCCGGAAUCAUUGGGCGUAAAGAGCUCGUAGGCGGUUUGUCGCGUCUUCCGUGAAAACUGGGGGCUUAACUUCCAGCUUGCGGUGGAUACGGGCUGACUGGAGUGCGGCAGGGGAGACUGGAAUUCCUGGUGUAGCGGUGAAAUGCGCAGAUAUCAGGAGGAACACCGGUGGCGAAGGCGGGUCUCUGGGCCGUUACUGACGCUGAGGAGCGAAAGCGUGGGGAGCGAACAGG
rnacentral:rRNA from 1 species